AGAUCAGCAAGCAGCGUAAUUAGUACGGAGCGAGCGAUACCUAGCCUUGACUGGACUGUAAAGGAAAGUGUAGGUAGUCGGUGUCGUGCUAUCGUGAUAAGAACAGGGCAUCGACUCGAGCAGUGAGACGAGGCGAUGCGAUACAAUCUAGAGAGAGGAUGAGGAGAGGUGGGAUUGCCCUGCGUAGAGUAGAGAUGCGCAGAUACAUGCCGGGACGCCGAUGGCGAAGGCAGGCACCCACCCAUCUCAGACGUUGAGGCGAGAAAGCAAGCGAGCAAGCAAGAUUAGAUAGAUAGGUAGUGCAGUGCACUAAACGAUGCGAUGCUAGCUAGGUCGGUUUGGUUGAGGGACGACCGAAACGCGUUAAGCGCAGCAUCCCACGAGUACGGCCGCAAGGCUGAAACUCAAAGGAAGGACGGGGGGGGGCACAAGCAAGGAGCGAGUGGUUUAAUUUAAAGCAACGCGAAGAAGGAACCAGGCCUUGACAUGAACAGGGGACGGACAGCAAAGGAAAGGGGGUCUCCGAAAAAGCCCUAGCGCAGGGGGUGCAAGGCCGUCGUCAGCUCGUGUCCUGAGAUUGUGGGGUAAAUUCCGCAACGAAGGCAACCCCUGAUCGCCAGUUCCCACGGGUUAAACCCGGCGCUUUAGGGGGGACGCCUUGGACAACCAGGAGAAAGGGGGGGAGGCGUUCAAUUCUCCAGGGCCUUCCGGCCCAGGGGUCCCCCCUGGUUCCAAUGGCAGUUCCAAUGGGCAGGCCCCUCGUGAGGGGGAGGGAUUCCAAAAAGGCGGUCUCAGUUCGGAUUGGAGUCUGCAACCCGACUCCAUGAAGCCGGAAUCGCUAGUAAUCGCGCAUCAGCUACGGCGCGGUGAAUACGUUCCCGGGCC
rnacentral:rRNA from 1 species